GGUCAACCUAGAAAAGACAAAAAGAGACCAAAAAAAAAAAAGAAAAGAAAAGAAAAGAAAACCAUCAUCUCUGACAGGGAAGGGUUGGCAGAUUAAGCAAACAGGACAUCCAGUAAGUAAAAAUGCAGGACAUCCAGUUGAAUUUGAGUUUCAAAUAAAUAAUUUUUUUUUUUACUGUAAGUAUUUCCAAUGCAGUAUUUGGGAGACAGUUAUAGUAAAAAAUUAUUCAUUGUUUAACUGAAAUUUAAACUUAACUAGGUAUGUGGUAUUUUUAUCUGGCAAGCUUAUUACAGAGAGGCCAAUUGGACUUCAAUUCAAUGGGUGUUAGAUUGCACUCAUAUUUGUCUAGACCUGAGUAAACAUUACAAAGGUGGGGAUGAUAGCACCUUUUUUUAUUACAAAAGUUUUCAAAAUCCAAACACAGAAGGCAAAAAAACCCACAGGAAACAAAUUCUGUACUAUUCAUAGCAGACAUGUUGAUAGGUGCUCCCUUCCAGGUGAGUGUAGCUCAGUCUGACAAAGGGCAUUGAGACAGAAUCCCCUAGCAUGCUCCAUGUUACCUAGGAGAUGAUCUGUUUCCUGAACUGCCAUUCUCAUCACCAUGAAGAUGCCAAAAUUAGCUCUCAAGGAGUAUAUCUGGAUGGUUUUCAGAUGGUAAAUUUAGAAGGGAUUUAUUUUGUGAUUAAAAUAAAAUCCCACUUAAUCUUGAUAUCAGACUUCCAGCCAACUCAAUUACCCAUUAAAUAGCUGUAAAUUCACAAUUAAAGGGGAAAACUCAGAGAAAAUAAAUGGCCCUGGCACAUGUUCUGUACUCAUUGGCAUGGGAUUGUGAGUUAGCUUACCCCUCUUGCCUUUAAAAGUGUAAUUAUCAUUUGUUCUGGUUGUGAGAUUAGAUAGAGCAGGGACAGUGUCAGUUAUAAGAAUUCAACGCACUGGGAAAAUGUGUUAGAUGGAAAAUUCUGCAAACUAAAAACCAUUCCAGGCUGGCUGGGCUGGGAGCAUAAAGUUCUCUGCACUUUAAUGGUCCUGGAGGACUCCAUUCUCUUUUAGGAAAAUGGAUCUUCAGCAAUGGGAAAAUGGCUAUCUGCAACUUUAGGGCUUCCAGAGGCUAACUCAGGCCUCGUAUUCUAAUCUAACUUCCUGUUCCUUUCCUCGCUGGGUGAGAGCAAGGAGGCAAGCCAGAGUGCCACAUGAGGACCUUGCCUGGGUCCCCUGCCUUCUACCUGGCAGCAACUCUUAGCUUGCCUGGCCCCUCUCCAGUUACCACAGCCCUCAGCAGCUGUUGAAAGUAACUCCAGACCCAAGUCUGAGCAUAGUCACCACCUUCUCUAUCUCAUAGCAUCUUUGUAAGUAUAUUAGUUUGCUAGCUUCCAUAACAAAUGACCACAAACUUGAGAGGCUUAAACAAUAGGAAUUUAUCAUCUCAUAAUUCUGCAGGCUAGAAGUUUGGUAUCAUGGUGUCAACAGGGCUAUGCUUCCUCUGAAGGUACAAAAGAGAAUAUAGAGAAUAUAUCCUAUGCCUCUCUCCUGGCAUCUGGUCAUUUGCUGGAUAGCUCUUAACUUCUGGAUAACUGGAUAGCUCCUUAACUUCUUAACUUCUGGAUAACUGGAUAGCUCCUUAACGUCUGCUGCACCAUCCUAAUUUCUGCUUUCAUGUUCACAUGAUGUUCUCCCUGUCUGUGCAUCACAGGGAGAAUUUCCACUUCUCAGAAUGACACCAGACAUAUUGAUUAGGGGUUACUCCAGUGUAACCUUGUCAUAACUAAUUAUAUCUAUAAUAACUCUAUUUCCAAAUAAGAUCACAUUCUGAGGUACUGGGAUUUAGGACUUCAAUGUAAAUUUGGAGGUGACACAAUUUGAUCCAUAAUAGUGGGUUUCAAAAGAAAUAGCAAAUAUGGAAGCCCUCUAAAAAUUUUAACAUAGUCUAUGAAUACUGCUGGGGGAAAGUAGGGAGAGCCUUCUCUGAUUUUCUGACAUUUGCACAAAGGAAAACAUUUUCACCUCUAUCCCUACACAAUGAGUGCUAAAGGAAAUAAUUCUUGCUUUUCUCUCUCUAUAGCAUCCUUUCCUCCAGGGUGGAAGAUGAUCCUUCAUGAAAGGCAAUAAAUAUUUUACAUGAGAAAAUGAAAUAAAAUUUGGAAUACAAGGUUAUAUAUGAAAAUAAGCACCAGCUCCUGAACUAUCACAGGAUGGCCCUACCCUCCUGUCUCCACCAAGGUGCUUUGUGGCUUUUUACCUCUGGCAACAGUGAAUGAUCACCUCAGCACCUGCCUCCUUGUCUGAGUUCAGAAGAGAAGGAAAAACUUUCGCUCAGGAGGUGCCAAUGGAGUCUAUUCAAGAAGCUGCCAUUCUGUAGAUAAACAUGGAGUUGUCAUGCUGAACUGCUUUGCCUCUCAUACAUCUCCAGUUUGCCCUUUGGAGAGCUCAGACAUCAAGGAAGUCUGGGGACUUAGACCAAAGUUUCAAACUCCAAGUACCAGGUGUCAUGCAUGAGGAGAGUGACAUCAUUUCUGUAGCAGUGUUCUCUCCAGGAUCCUUACAGAUGGGGGUAAUUGCAGAUAGAAAUCAUACCUCAGGAGGACACCACUGGUGACCAUGAGAAUUUAAAAGCCAUGGGAGAAGUGCCACCAACAGGAGUGGUGACAUUUGGUAGAAGAAUGAAGUCUUUAUCCCAGCUGAGGCCAGGUAGGAAGGGAGCAGAGUGAUUGAAUACUCCACCCUCACUCUUCAUUCCUUUUGGUCUUUUACUGGUUCCUUUUGACAACCAGGACCAGGAGCAAGGGAAACUGGAUAAUACAGCCCAUAGAGGUUGGCUUUCUGAGAUACAUAGCAGACAGAAAAGGGUCAAGGGACAAAUGGAGACUACCUACUGAAAACAGAACAAAGUGAGUUUCAUGGGAUUCAAAAAGAAAAGUAUAGAGCACACUGUGCAAAGUCUGUGGUCAAAGAAACAAUAGGAAAAUAAAUUAUUUCCUGAAUUGAAGAACGAUUUGAGUCUACUGAUCAAAACACUCAUCAAAGGGCUCUGAAAGUAUGCUAUCUGGAUACCAUCUCUUCAAACAUUACUUAAGUAAAGAUUUGCUAGAGCUAUCCAAAUGAUGAAACUAAAUAACUCAAGAAUGAGGGAAAUAAAUGAACUACAGAUAAGCAAUAAAACUCACAAACCAGAGACUUUAAAAUAUCAAUCUUAUUUUUAAAUGUUUAAAAAUACAUGCAAAUAUCAAAAAUAAAG